UGACAUCUGGCUAAAUUUCUACAGACAGAUGUGAUGGAAUCAUACGCUUUGGAGAUGCACUGUAGGGGUCGUUUGACACUUGGAGCUCUUCCUAGCCAGCUGAAAGAUGCUCUGAUAACAUUCAGAUUUCGAGACUCUGUCUGAAGCACUGGCAAGAGGCCUACAACCGAGGAAUGGAUCUUAGGAGUCCAACCUUUUAGCCAAUUUGGAAGGAUUUGAAUUUUUGUUGGAACAAUGAAGCCGAGUUCUAAACCCUUUCACCACAUGUUAUAAAUAUUAACAAUGGAGAUAAACCAAGGCUUGGUAAAUAUAACUAGCUCGGUCAAGACCACGUUGGAAGGAAGAAGGGAGUAAGAGCUGAGGACAGGGAUAUGUGCAUGGAAUUAUGAUGAAAUCCAUUAUUCCUAUACUAAUAAAAAAUUUAAU
rnacentral:lncRNA from 1 species